rnacentral:rRNA from 1 species
GACAGAGGUGCCGAGCGUUAGGCGGAAUCACUGGGCUUAAAGCGUGUGUAGGCGGGCGGACAAGUACCUUGUGAAAUCCCACGGCUCAACCGUGGAACUGCUGGGUAUACUGUUUGUCUUGAGCCAACUAGGGGCGAGCGGAACAGACGGUGGAGCGGUGAAAUGCGUAGAUAUCGUCUGGAACGCCAAAGGUGAAAACAGCUCGCUGGGGUUGUGCUGACGCUGAGACACGAAAGCCAGGGGAGCGAACGGG